rnacentral:rRNA from 1 species
GUACACUCCUGCGGGAGGCAGCAGUGGGGAAUAUUGGACAAUGGGCGCAAGCCUGAUCCAGCCAUGCCGCGUGAGUGAUGAAGGCCCUAGGGUUGUAAAGCUCUUUCACCGGUGAAGAUAAUGACGGUAACCGGAGAAGAAGCCCCGGCUAACUUCGUGCCAGCAGCCGCGGUAAUACGAAGGGGGCUAGCGUUGUUCGGAUUUACUGGGCGUAAAGCGCACGUAGGCGGACUAUUAAGUCAGGGGUGAAAUCCCGGGGCUCAACCCCGGAACUGCCUUUGAUACUGGUAGUCUUGAGUUCGAGAGAGGUGAGUGGAAUUCCGAGUGUAGAGGUGAAAUUCGUAGAUAUUCGGAGGAACACCAGUGGCGAAGGCGGCUCACUGGCUCGAUACUGACGCUGAGGUGCGAAAGCGUGGGGAGCAAACAGGAAUAGAAACCCCAGUAGUCCCAU